rnacentral:lncRNA from 1 species
CGUUGAGUUUAUACGAAGGACAGCUGCAGCAACAUCCCCACGUGGAUCAUAAAGCACACAAGAGGCAGGAUGACGGAAGACAUUAGGAGAUCAAAGUCCAGCGCAUGUGUGGCUCCAGCGUACCUUUGGAAUGGAAGGAGAUGAGGCAGUCACAGUGGGGCCACUUCUCCACAGGUUCCUCCAGGAUCACCUCCUCAGAGAAGAUGACCACGUCGAUGUACUCGAACUUACAGAGUCGCUCCAGGAUCUGAGUCAUGGGUUUGGACUUGGACUUCUUCAUCAUGGAGCAGAUGCCCACCACGAUUUGUCCUCUCAGCUGGAGGAAAGCAGGAGAGUGAAUGUUUCUGCGACGUGUGACGGUGAGAGUCAUCGUCCUCCUCCAUGUCCUCUUCCCGACUGUUGUCGCUCUUCAUAUCGAUCUCCACUUGGUCCAUGUCGUCGUCCUCCUCAUCCUCCUCGCAUCCAACCACAAACCGAGGAAUGUCCUUGAGUCUCCCCUCCCGUUUGUCCUCUGGUCCUGGUCCGUUGCUGGACCCUGACAUCACAAAUCCUGGUGUGUCAUGGCAGCUUCCAGAGAGUCCUCACAGGUAGCAGUGAUGACAGCUAAAGAGGCAAAAAGAACAUGUUCACAAGGCUUCAACAUGAAUCAAAAAAAUCUAUCAACUCCACAAUAUCAGCUUGUGGACACGACAUCUCAACACGAUGACAGGA